rnacentral:rRNA from 1 species
UACGUAGGUGACCAGCGUUGUCCGGAAUCAUUGGGCGUAAAGCGCGUGUAGGCGGUCCGGUAAGUCCGCUGUGAAAGUCGGGGGCUCAACCCUCGAAUGCCGGUGGAUACUGUCGGGCUAGAGUGCGGAAGAGGCGAGUGGAAUUCCUGGUGUAGCGGUGAAAUGCGCAGAUAUCAGGAGGAACACCAAUUGCGAAGGCAGCUCGCUGGGACGUUACUGACGCUGAGACGCGAAAGCGUGGGGAGCAAACAGG